rnacentral:rRNA from 1 species
UACAGAGGUCCCAAGCGUUGUUCGGAUUCACUGGGCGUAAAGGGUGCGUAGGCGGUCAUUUAAGUCUGACGUGAAAUCUCCGGGCCUAACCCGGAAACUGCGUUGGAAACUAUCUGACUAGAGGAAUGGAGGGGAGACUGGAAUACUUGGUGUAGCAGUGAAAUGCGUAGAUAUCGGGAGGAACACCAGUGGCGAAGGCGAUCACCUGGGGUUGUUCUGACGCUGAGGAGCGAAAGCUAGGGGAGCAAACGGG